UGGAAGAAUUAGUGCGAGAAU
rnacentral:piRNA from 1 species